rnacentral:rRNA from 1 species
UCCUACGGGUGGCAGCAGUAGGGAAUAUUGCACAAUGGAGGAAACUCUGAUGCAGCGACGCCGCGUGAGUGAUGAAGGCCUUCGGGUCGUAAAGCUCUGUCGCAGGGGAAUAACACAAUGAAUGUACCCUGUAAGAAAGGAUCGGCUAACUUCGUGCCAGCAGCCGCGGUAAGACGAGGGAUCCUAGCGUUGUUCGGAAUUAUUGGGCGUAAAGCGGAUGUAGGUGGCUUUGUAAGUCAGAUGUGAAAGCCCAGGGCUCAACCCUGGAAGUGCAUUUGAUACUGCGAAGCUUGAGUGUCGGAGAGGUUACUAGAAUUGUUGGUGUAGUGGUGAAAUACGUAGAUAUCAACAGGAAUACCGGAGGCGAAGGCGGGUAACUGGCCGAACACUGACACUGAGAUCCGAAAGCGUGGGGAUCAAACAGGAUUAGAUACCCCAGUAGUCGG